rnacentral:lncRNA from 1 species
GAAAUCUGCUGUGAAAUAAACUAAAUAAGUAAACAAAAAAAGGUGUGAUGAGACCAUGAUUCACAUGCUCUCAUGUUUUACAGAUCAAAAAUGGAGAAGCCUGUUCGAAGACAGUUGCUGAACAUACUGGAUGAUUUAGGAAAAAAGGAGCUAGAACGUUUUCACUGGCACCUGCGGAUUGGACCCGGAGGUGAUUUCAUGACCAUUAAAAAGAGCCACCUGGAGAAAGCAGACACAAUGAGAGUAGUGGAUCUUAUGGUGGGAACAUAUACUACUGGCCGUGUGAUGGAGGUGGCGGAGUUGAUUUUAAAGAAGAUUAAAAAAGGUCAUUCAGAGAAAGAAGAAACAAACAAACAGUGCGGAAGUCCCUCAGUCCAGGAAGCUUCAUUGCUUUUAUCAGAAUCAGAAGGAAGUCCCUCAGUCCAGGAAGCUUCAUUACUUUCAUCAGAAUCAGAAGGUAAGAUUCCACGAGUUUGUCUGAAGAGACGUGGAUAAGGCAGAAACACACAAAGUCUGAGCUGACCAAUCAGAGCUCUGAUUCUUUCCAUGCGAUAUCUCUGUAGCCUCAGUUUAGCUCUCCAGUAUGUCAGAGC